GAUGAACGCUGGCGGCGUGCCUAAUACAUGCAAGUCGAGCGAACAGACGAGGAGCUUGCUCCUCUGACGUUAGCGGCGGACGGGUGAGUAACACGUGGAUAACCUACCUAUAAGACUGGGAUAACUUCGGGAAACCGGAGCUAAUACCGGAUAAUAUAUUGAACCGCAUGGUUCAAUAGUGAAAGACGGUUUUGCUGUCACUUAUAGAUGGAUCCGCGCCGCAUUAGCUAGUUGGUAAGGUAACGGCUUACCAAGGCGACGAUGCGUAGCCGACCUGAGAGGGUGAUCGGCCACACUGGAACUGAGACACGGUCCAGACUCCUACGGGAGGCAGCAGUAGGGAAUCUUCCGCAAUGGGCGAAAGCCUGACGGAGCAACGCCGCGUGAGUGAUGAAGGUCUUCGGAUCGUAAAACUCUGUUAUUAGGGAAGAACAAAUGUGUAAGUAACUAUGCACGUCUUGACGGUACCUAAUCAGAAGCCACGGCUAACUACGUG
rnacentral:rRNA from 1 species